rnacentral:rRNA from 1 species
UGGGGAAUAUUGCACAAUGGAGGGAACUCUGAUGCAGCGACGCCGCGUGAGUGAUGAAGGAAUUCGUUUCGUAAAACUCCGUUCUAUGGGAAGAAAAGGACUGUACCAUAGGAGAAAGCUCCGGCUAAAUACGUGCCAGCAGCCGCGGUAAUACGUAUGGAGCGAGCGUUGUCCGGAAUUAUUGGGCGUAAAGGGUGCGCAGGCGGCGUUACAAGUUGGAUGUGAAAUAUUGUGGCUCAACCACAAACGUGCAUCCAAAACUGCAAAGCUUGAGUUAAGGGGAGGUAAGUGGAAUUCCUGGUGUGGCGGUAGAAGGCGUAAAUAGCAGGAGGAAUACCGGUGGCGAAGGCGACUUACGGGACUUAAACUGCCGCUCAGGGACGAAAGGGUGGGGGGCAAACAGG